GUUAUUUUUUUUAAAAGCACCCAAGAGGGCUUCCUCUUCCUCCUCUGUGCCCGUGUGCAUUCAGUAUUUAUUUUUGUACUCCUUUGUUACUGAUAAUAGGAAUUGCAGAUCGGUAGAGACCUAACCCCCAUGUGCAGAGCACCCAGGUCCCAGAGCAGCGAUUCUGUCCCAUUUGCUGCAUAGACAACUGGACUAUAAGUCAUUACCAGUGAGUAAAUUACUGGAAGGGGCAGUCAGCAAUUCAAAUGAAGGCAAUGGGCAAUAAUGUGGUCACCUUUUGACUUGUAUCCUGCUUUGUUGAAGGUGUGAUGCAAUCCAAACAAAAAAACCAAGCAUUAGAAAUGGAGGCAGAUGAAAUAGAUGAAGUGAUCCAACUGGCAACACGCCGCAGGAAGACAGUGCCGGGUUUCCAGCUCUCACGCUGCCACGCAGUAAAAUAACCAAGUGGCUCCAGGCAUCUCUCCAGCCUGGGAUCUGCUCCUGCCCCAGGAUGGGUUUUUGGAGCAGCCUUUGAGUACGGCCGUCAUGUACAGCUGCAUGAGCAAGACAAGUCCACCCUGCAGUGAUCUGCCUGACGCCGCGGGGCCAGGGCGACGUGCUCGCGUGGCAGCAGCUCCACGGGGUAAGUCUGCCUGCAACCCUCAACCAAACACGCAAAGUGAUCAGUUCGUCUUGCUGAUAGGCAUAAUGUUCGACCGAAACAAGCAUUCAGAUGCAAGGCAGCUCUUUUCUAUCUCCCCAGCAUACAAACCCUGAAUUUGCAAGCAUUCAGCAAAAUUCUUCAAGUUCCUCUCUGGUUUAGCUGGGAACAGAAUUUUGCUGAUCAUGACAAAGGAUGAGCCGAGUCCCUAGACUUUGCUCUUGACUAAUCCUCUGUGACCCCCAGUAUGAAAAUUAAACUGAUGGCAGCGUACUGUGGGAAUCCCACCUGCAUCUGCCCCCCAGGGAAGAACGGAACAGCCAAAAAGGUCUUUUCCCUGUUCUAAUUUCAGUGAUUUUUUUGAUUCACUUUGCUCUGCUAUGAGAAGAAAAAGGAAAAGGCAAAGCACCUGGACAAAUUGUUUCUAGCCCUGGAUGCUAAUGAAAAGAAAAAUGUCAGAGUAGAUGAAAAUGAGGUCGUUCUUGCUGAAGGAGGGCAGCAGAUGAGAUCAGAGCAGAGCCGUCAGCUCUGUCUGGCCCUUCAUUAGCGCCACAAGAACACCCAGGCUAAUGGGAAAGGCCACAAGUGGCAUCACUUGACA
rnacentral:lncRNA from 1 species